GACGAACGCUGGCGGCGUGCUUAACACAUGCAAGUCGAACGGAAAGGCCCUGCUUUUGUGGGGUGCUCGAGUGGCGAACGGGUGAGUAACACGUGAGUAACCUGCCCUUGACUUUGGGAUAACUUCAGGAAACUGGGGCUAAUACCGGAUAGGAGCUCCUGCUGCAUGGUGGGGGUUGGAAAGUUUCGGCGGUUGGGGAUGGACUCGCGGCUUAUCAGCUUGUUGGUGGGGUAGUGGCUUACCAAGGCUUUGACGGGUAGCCGGCCUGAGAGGGUGACCGGCCACAUUGGGACUGAGAUACGGCCCAGACUCCUACGGGAGGCAGCAGUGGGGAAUAUUGCACAAGGGGCGGAAGCCUGAUGCAGCAACGCCGCGUGCGGGAUAACGGCCUUCGGGUUGUAAACCGCUUUCGCCUGUGACGAAGCGUGAGUGACGGUAAUGGGUAAAGAAGCACCGGCUAACUACGUG
rnacentral:rRNA from 1 species